AGUGAACGCUGGCGGCGUGCUUAACACAUGCAAGUCGAACGAGAACGGGCUAUAGCUUGCUAUAGUUGUCAGCUAAGUGGCGCACGGGUGAGUAAUGUAUAGGUAAUAUGCCUCUUACUAAGGGAUAACAAAUGGAAACGUUUGCUAAUACCUUAUACUCCUUAUUAACAGAAGUUAAUAAGGGAAAGAUUUAUUGGUAAGAGAUUAGCCUGUAUUGUAUCAGUUAGUUGGUGGGGUAAUGACUUACCAAGACUAUGACACAUAACUGGUUUGAGAGGAUGAUCAGUCACACUGGAACUGAGACACGGUCCAGACUCCUACGGGAGGCAGCAGUGGGGAAUAUUGCACAAUAGACGGAAGUCUGAUGCAGCAACGCCGCGUGGAGGAUGACACAUUUCGGUGCGUAAACUCCUUUUAUAUGAGAAGAUAAUGACGGUAUUAUAUGAAUAAGCACCGGCUAACUCCGUGCCAGCAGCCGCGGUAA
rnacentral:rRNA from 1 species